rfam:Schizosaccharomyces pombe chromosome I, complete replicon
GGUCGCAUGAUGUAGUCGGUUAUCAUGUCGAUCUAAUAAGUCGAAUGUCGCCGGUUCGAACCCGGCUGUGACCA